rnacentral:rRNA from 1 species
CAGUCGCCACGGUAAUACGUAGGUGGCAAGCGUUGUCCGGAAUUAUUGGGCGUAAAGGGCUCGCAGGCGGUUUCUUAAGUCUGAUGUGAAAGCCCCCGGCUCAACCGGGGAGGGUCAUUGGAAACUGGGAAACUUGAGUGCAGAAGAGGAGAGUGGGAUUCCACGUGUAGCGGUGAAAUGCGUGGAGAUGUGGAGGAACACCAGUGGCGAAGGCGACUCUCUGGUCUGUAACUGACGCUGAGGAGCGAAAGCGUGGGGAGCGAACAGGAUUAGAUACCCCCGUAGUCCCUGUCUCUUAUAC